AGUACUACGGGAUCCUGGCCAGCACCUCGUCGGGCAUUUGCUGCCUUCUCUGCCCGAUGAUGGUGGUGGGCUCUCCAGUUCCAACGGGCUCGUGCUGAAGUGAUGCACGUCGAUGUCAUUCUGAAACCUGAACGCUUACCUGACGGUUCUUGAAGCACCGGAUGCCAUGGCGUUCCUUCUCUGACAGCUUCUGGUCUGAAUCUGUGAGGCAUCCGUGGGCACAAAGUACAAGUAUAUAAGCAUGAGGAUUGAGGGGACAGGGAUAUGGUGAGGUCUGGUCGUCUUCCUCAGCUAUGGGGAGGAGAGUGACCGCAACGGUGUGCUCAGCCAUAAGAACCAAAAGGUCCUUCUGCAACUAGUUUCGGCAGGGAUCUUGUGUGAUCGUACUUAAGAGGUACACCGCCAGAGGAUACUUUUAUGGAAAAAGGGUUAACUUGGACUUGGAAACAACAAAUGCAUGUGAGCGUGCUGCUAUCUACUUGAUGCUCUUCUCUAAGGUCAAAUUGCUGGUCUUCUGCACGCUUCAUUUUGUAGAUAAUACUCCACGUCUCUAUCUAAACUUCUUCGGUAAGCCAAACAGGUUAUAUAUUUUAGGAUUGGAUUUGCCAGGGAGCAGUCGCCUGAGACUUUUCUCAGUCGACGGCGGAAAUAUGAAUCAGAUAUAUAAGCUGGUAACUAUAAUAUAACAGCAACCUUAGUAGGUCCGGUGGUCUGCGGAUGCUAUGGCUAGUCAAAGAGACGGAGGUUCUUGUUAUGGCCUUCCUUUUCGUUUUUGUUUUUUGAAUUUUUAUUUCUCUUUAUUUUCUCUGUUUUCAACUUUAUAUGCAUGCAAGUUUCAACUGCAAUUUUUUCA